GAAGAAAGGACAAAACUCAGGAAACGAUAUUCAUUUCCCUCAGAUUACCACACAGGAUGCAGUUUGGCUUUUCUCGUUCUUGCGAUAGUGAAGGCUCCCACCCUGGCUUGGAUGGAACAACCUACAUGACGUGGCGCUUGGCGUCCCCAGGGGAGACCAGCGAGGCUGAAAUUCCGCGGCCCCACGUGACCUCCGGGGACGCGCUUCAGGGACCUGAGUCCAGCUGGGCGGAAGUUGUUCCCGUGCGUGCGCUUGGAACCUGGGCGAGAAUUAAGUUUGUGCUGUGGUCCUGCGUUUCCACGGUGUUUGCAUCCAUGUUUAGUAGGACCAGGGCUUUUUUUGUGGAAAUCGAUUUUGCUGGACGUAACCCCGUGUUGGGACUCCCUAGGGAAAUGGAGACGCCACGUGGUUAAGGACUUUGGGCUCCGCCGCCCACGUAGUGUGAGUGGCUGAAACGCCGAAAGCGGUCUCCUGCCUUCCAGCCAGAGCCGCACGCUUUCCUAUGUCUGCCGCACUUUCCCAACCUGACUUCCGAAUUUCUUGCCAUUUCAGCCGUCGGUAGCAGCAGCCAGUCAACGCCACCACUCUAGUCAGAGAAUCUAAGGCGAAUUGAGUUGGAAAUCCAUCUGGUCCAUUCCCACUCCCACUUUACAGGUCAUGGGAACGGAGACGUGGACUCUCAAUAAAGGGUAAAGGGAAGCGAAGGAAGUCUAAAGGCUACCUCUCAUGACACUGUGACUCAGGAGAUCUGCCUGCGUCUGCCACUUACAUUUCCUCCAGGAGAAACACCAGGUGAUGUAGAAAGCUGCACCCAGCUGAGCUGAGCUGACCUCAGGCAUCUACCAGCUACCUCAGGUCUCCGCUUAUGGACCACAUUCACCCACAUCUGCUGUUACAACUUGCCUCCAAUUUAAGAGAAGCCUCCUUCUGUGACCUUCAAAUCACUCACCAGCUGCAACUCUUCCCACGCCACCUCCACAAACGUCUGGGAGUUUUCAAGGUCAAGUGCCUUAUUUAUUAUAGUAUUUAUAUGCUUCUUGACCAUAUAUGUAAUAUAUAUAAAACUGCAUUACUGUUUUUAUUAGGUUACUAUCUUAAUCAAUGAGGAAGUUUUUUCAUCUCAUUUUUGCCAUAAGUCCUGUGGUUUUUAUUGCAUGACUUCAUAUAGUGCAGAGGUCUUUAAGACCACAUUAUAGCAGAACUGGUUGUAUUUCUUG